rnacentral:misc_RNA from 1 species
UCGUAUAACAGAGGUGCUGGGGCUGUCGCUAUCUUUGUGCACGCCCUGGUGCUCUCUCGCAAUCCAUCUCACCCCUUUUGUGCAUCACCGCGUGGGUGCUCUCCUUUUGAAAAGGGAGCAUUUGCGCUUUUACACAGACCCACCGCAUGUUUAGAAUGUGUUAGUAUUUUGUGAUAAUAUGCAAUCAAUA